GCUUGAGGAAAUUGCAACGCUGAGCCAGCGGUGCUGGCAGAAAUGUGUGAGGAAACUGAAAAGUUUAAGUUUGAUUAUAGCAGGAUUUGGGGAGCGUUUUGAAUGACACAGCUUAAUUUCAGUGCCCCCUUUAGGUACUGGAAGGUGCUCUAAGGUCUCCCUGGAGCCUUCUCUCCCAGCCUGCCUCCACAGCAGAGGUGCUCCAGCCCUGUGAUCAUCUCUGUGCCCUCCUGUGGACCUACCCCAGCCAUCUCUGAAACAUGAGUGCCGAAACAGAUGCAGUUUCCACAUCUGCUUACUCAUCACCAGCCAAAAGCUUGGGAGACCCUGGAAUAACUCCACUGUCUCCAUCACACAUUGUGAAGGACUCUGAUGCAGACGAGGCUGUAGAACAGUUAUUUCUUGUUGUUGUGGCUAUUGAUUUUGGCACAACAUCCAGUGGCUACGCCUACAGCUUCACCAAGGAGCCAGAAUGUAUUCAUGUAAUGAGACGAUGGGAAGGUGGAGAUCCAGGUGUUUCCAACCAGAAGACCCCAACCACUAUCCUCCUAACACCUGAGAGAAAGUUCCAUAGCUUUGGCUAUGCAGCAAGAGACUUCUACCAUGACUUGGAUCCCACUGAAUCAAAGCACUGGUUGUAUUUUGAAAAGUUUAAGAUGAAGCUGCAUACCACUGGUAAUCUUACCAUGGAGACAGACCUGACAGCUGCAAAUGGCAAAAAAGUCAAAGCACUUGAGAUAUUUGCUUAUGCUCUGCAAUUCUUUAAGGAACAGGCAUUAAAGGAGCUGAGUGACCAAGGAGGCUCAGACUUUGAAAACACUGAAGUCAGAUGGGUCAUUACAGUGCCUGCUAUUUGGAAGCAGCCUGCAAAGCAGUUUAUGAGACAAGCUGCCUACAAGGCAGGAAUGGCAUCUCCUGAAAACCCCGAGCAGCUGAUCAUUGCCCUGGAGCCCGAGGCUGCCUCUAUCUACUGCCGAAAGCUGCGCCUGCACCAGAUGAUAGACCUGAGUAGCAGGGCACCUGUCAAUGGCUACAGCCCGAGUGACACUAUUGGAACUGGAUUUACACAGGGGAAGGAACACGUGCGCCGGAACCGGCAGAGCCGGACCUUCAUGGUGGAAAAUGUCAUAGGAGAGAUCUGGUCUGAGCUGGAGGAAGGUGAUCGGUACAUCGUGGUUGACAGCGGAGGAGGCACAGUGGACAUGACUGUCCAUCAGAUCAGGCUCCCUGAAGGACAUCUGAAGGAGCUCUACAAAGCAACAGGUGGGCCGUACGGUUCUCUAGGUGUGGACUACGAGUUCGAGAAGCUGCUGUGUAAAAUAUUUGGGGAAGAUUUCAUUGAGCAGUUUAAAAUCAAGCGCCCUGCGGCCUGGGUGGAUCUGAUGAUCGCGUUUGAGUCCCGCAAGCGGGCGGCAGCUCCCGACAGGACCAACCCCCUGAACAUCACCCUGCCCUUCUCCUUCAUUGACUACUACAAGAAGUUCCGAGGUCACAGCGUAGAACAUGCCUUGAGGAAAAGCAAUGUGGACUUUGUGAAGUGGUCCUCCCAGGGAAUGCUGAGGAUGAGCCCUGAUGCAAUGAAUGCUCUUUUCAAACCUACAAUUGACCAGAUCGUUCAGCACCUGAGUGAGGUGUUUGAUAAGCCAGAGGUGACCAACGUGAAGUUCCUCUUCCUGGUGGGCGGCUUUGCUGAAUCCCCCUUGCUCCAACAAGCCGUCCAGAGCGCUUUUGGCUCCAGGUGCCGGGUCAUCAUUCCCCAGGAUGUGGGUCUGACCAUCCUCAAGGGCGCUGUUCUCUUUGGCCUCGACCCUGCAGUCAUCAAGGUGCGGCGCUCCCCUCUGACCUACGGCGUCGGGGUGCUCAACCGCUUCGUGGAGGGCAAGCACCCCCCGGAGAAGCUCCUCGUCAAAGACGGCACGCGCUGGUGCACCGACGUCUUUGACAAAUUCAUCUCAGCCGACCAGUCUGUAGCCCUGGGAGAGACUGUGACACGCAGCUACACACCUGCCAAGCCUUCUCAGUUAGUAAUAGUGAUCAAUAUCUACAGCUCGGAGCAAGACAACGUCAGCUUCAUCACCGAGCCCGGCGUGAAGAAGUGCGGCACCCUGCGCUUGGAUCUGACGGGAACUGACGCUUCCGUGCCCAACCGGCGCGAGAUCAAAACGCUGAUGCAGUUUGGGGACACUGAAAUCAAAGCCAUGGCUGUGGAUGUUGCCACCUCUAAAAGUGUCAAAGUUGGUAUUGAUUUCUUAAAUUACUGACGGCCCUUUCCCCCACCACAGCCUGUUUGUGAGACUGAUCUUCCACUGUUCCACUUUUUGACUUCUGUCUGUCAUGUCAUCACCUUGAAUUUCAGCAGGCUAUAUGAGAACAGCUAGUAAGGUGGGGUAUGUUGUGUUUGUGUCCUUUGGUGACCAAGGACUGCAUUUUGAAAGACCCUUAAAAAGUUUCGGGAGCAAAAGUUCCAGAGGUAGUAAAAGUUACCGAGUUACUCACGCAUGCUUAAAGAUCUACCUUUAUAAAAUAAACACUGAUUAUUGUUGGGUCCUGAAAGUUAGUUAAAAAAAUACCAAGUUAUAAUCUCUUUGCCUUGUUCUUCUUCCUCUUCUGUCUGAGAAAAACUCACUAACCCACGUGGCUGUUGUAGGGGGGUGUAUCUGUGUGGGAUAUCUGUUUAAACAGCACCAUCCUCUGGCAAUGGGAACAAAUUAGUAGUUUUAUUGUAUUCUUUAGGUUUUGCCCAGUGCUUUCAGAAUUUAAAGUGCUGAAAAUGAAUGACUCAAAGAAAUAGGAUCUAAAUUACUUAAAUUCUGAGGAAAGAAAAUCCCCAGAAAUCCUUAAAAUUAUAUUUAGGAAAUAUGUGUGUGUUUUGGGGGCCUAAUAUUGAUUGCUCCAGGUUGAAAACAAGGCCUUUGUAUCAAAGCUCUCAGAACAAGCUGUCAGGUUAAUUAGCUGGCAUUACCGUCAUUAUACUUUGGAAAAUAAUAUUAAGAACAAACCUAUUUCUCUUUUGGGUCUUCUAAACUUAUUUUUAUUAGUCUCCAUCUGAAACCACAGAAUGACAGAGUAGUUGAGCUUGAAGGGGACAUCCAUUGACUAUCUGAUAAAAUCUCUCCAUUCUAAGCAGUAUCAGUCAGAACAAGUUUCUUUUUCCAGUUUUAUGGUCUCCAGAAUGAAGAUCCCUAAACUGUGAGCAAUUUAUUUGACAACCUUCACUGCAAGUUUUUUUUCUUACGCUUAAAAGGAAUUUAUUGAGUUUAAAUUUGUGCGUGUUGCCUCUUUCUUGCUCCUUCACUGAAUACCUCUGAGAAGUCUGGCUCCGUCCUCUUUCCUGUCUGCUGUCAGACAUUCCUAGCAUCCCCUGAGCCUCCUUGAGUCCAGCAGCCCCACUGUCACAGCCUCUCCCCCCCAAUCCCUUCUCCCCUCCAUGGCCCUUUGCUGGUCUCAGAGCUGUGUGUCACUCUUGUCCUGGGAAGCUCAGAGCUGGACCAGCACUCAGACGUGGUCUCAGCAGGGCUGAACCAGGGCAUGAUCCCUUUCCAGGAUCUGCUGGCAGUGCUGUUCCCAGUGCAGCCCCGAGGCUGGUGGCACUCUCUGUGGCAGGGGCACGUUGCUGGCUCAUUCAGCCUCGCUCAGUGUCUGCCACCAUGCCAAGGUGAUGUUGUGCUGCCAGGCUGCUUCCCAGACAGCUCCUGGUGCAUGGGCUCCUUCCUGCCCACGGUCAGGACUCUGCACUUGCCUUUGCUGAACUUCAUGAGGUUCCUGUCUGCACAUUUCUCCAGCCUGCAACAUCCCUCUGACCCAUCUGCUUUAUCAAGCACUUCCCCAGGUGACUGUUUUUUUUUUUCUUGUUUAUUCCUGUGAUAAGAUUUGGAAGCACAGCUAGAUAAUGACUUUCCAGAAACAUUUAAACAGUUCAGAAGAGACAAAACGGUUCAGAUCUAAAAUACUGUAAUACAUUUUUGUAGCAAACUUUUUAAUUCAGUAAAAUAUAUUGCUGGGUUGAGUUGAAUGGCCAAUGAAGUGGAAGGCAGAAGCCAAUAGAAUGGAACUACAAAUAGCAUUAAAUAAAGCAUUCCUUACUUGGCAGUGAGCACAGAGCUCUUGAUGCAGGAGAAGUGCACUGAUGGCCAUGGCAGCAUCUUGUUUUCCAAAUAACUUUGUGAAAAUGUUUCCUUAAGCAUGCUCACCUGGCAAAUUUCUUUUGCAACUAGAAUAGCUUUUUAUUUUGCAAAAUGCUACAGGAAGAAAACCUACAUUCUGCAUCUGUCAUGAACUGACAACUUCAGAUUCAAUUCCUAAUUCCACUCCAGAUUAGCAGAGUGAUACCAACCUGUAUAAUCACCCUAAAAUGCUGACACUUUCCAGUGCAUUUAUACAGAGCUGCCUGAUUACCUGCUGGAAUUCAUUACAUUUUCAAAAUGUUGCAAUGUUAAUUAUUAAUCUAAACCUUCCUUUUUAAAAAGUUGAGCACGAGUUAAAUCCAUUACUGACACUUUUGGGAGAUUAAAGCUUUAUCAGUUAUUUCAUUAAUUUAUGUUCCAAUCCUGCACUUAAACUUUGUGUUUUUCCUGGAGUUUUGCCACAGAGAGAUGGACAACUGAUCCACUGCAUUUUGUCAUUUAGUUUUCUGUGUUUCCUGCAGAAUUCCCUGAUUUAAUGGGAAGUGUGUUCUGCAUUCAGCUUUAAAAUAAAUAAAUAAAGGACUAUGGAGAAUGCUAGUCACAGUAUCCUGCUGGAUACUUUCUAUAAUUACAAAGUGUGCUUGCUAGCAGUCGAUUUCCUGCUGCCUGCUAAAUGCUUUAAAAGCUAAAUACUGGGAUUUUUUUUGUGUGUGCUGCUUUCCAUGGUUUACAAACAAGAGAAACUUUAAGAUGAGUUAUGAACAAUAUAAUUUUAUGUAUAUACAAUAUUUAAAUAUUGUACAGACUCUUUCUUUCUACAGUGCUAUUUUCUUGUAUAAAAAUGCACUUUGCCUCUGUUGAUUUCAUUCAGCUGUUAAUUUUAAAUAACACAGUUUCUCAAUCAGCUUCUGUAAUUAUAGGCUUUUAAAGAUGGUAAGAUAUGAAAUGUAAAAGGCCGAUCUUAUAAUAAUAGGAAAGAAAUGUUGGUGUGUCAGAGAAUACAACAUUCUUCCUGCAAUGCAAGUCAUACCAGCUCAGCACAUCACCCAAAUGCAAUAGUGUGUUGCUGGGGUUUUCAUUUCUUUGUUUCAGAUGGUGACCAUUCCAUCUCCAGCAAUUCUUCAUAAUAAUGGAUGAAUCCUCCUGUAAAACCAAAAAUCAGGUUGUAAAAUCUGGGUAUACAUCUUCUUCACUAGGUUUUGGGUUUUUAAUAAGGAUCUUCUCUAGUUUAAAAAACAACAACAACAACAAAUGAAAAACUACCUCCCAAAGCCAGGCAACACUCUUGUAUUGUAGCUACAGGUAAGACACAGUCUCUGUCUACCACUUCCACCUGCCAAAAACCAAAAUUCUCACAGAAAAAUAGGCUUUGCUGUCUUUGCAUGCUGUGUUUAGCUGAAUCUGUCCAGUUCUGCACAGAUUUGUUUUCAGUGGCCUUAACACAGGAUUUGGUCUAAUGAAUGGCUGCCACCCCCUGUCCCCCCUGUGAAGAGGAGGUGACCUGCAAGAUCAGGUGGCCCAUGGGUUUUGUGCUGUUUCCAGCCUGUCUGCAGGGAAAGCUGCAGGUGGUUUCUGCAGCUCUUGUGAAGCACAGUUCCCUGCCCAGCAGUGAUUCUCUGCCCUCUCUGAUUCACCUUUGGUAAGAUCCCAUCUGGAUCCGAGCGGGAGCUUGUUGCUGAAAUCCCUGUAACUGUGAAACGUGGUUUACAUAUUUUUGCACUUCCUCCUUCAGUCUGGUGAGAACACCAUCAAGCUUAUCUUUGCAGAGCACUGAACUACUGAACAAACUCCCAGCUGUCCUUGUUGCCCUCUUUCGGAAUGGAAAAUUAGCUUGUCUCUCUAAGGAAUUAGAAUUGUUAAGUAGAAUAUUAUGCUGUGGUCUGUAGACAAUAACCCAAUUAAACAACUUUACAUUGUAAAAGGCAUGUGGAUGCCCAUUUCGAUAAAGGUUGUUAGGCUGUAAAAUUUAUAUGAAAUUCACUAGGAAAUGAGGCAUUUUUAGAAUUGUAGUUGUGAGACUUUUGCAGGACAUUCCCCUGCAGAGCAUUUUUUUGGUAGGGGUUUCAGAUGACAUUGUGCAACUUAGUGUUGGCAAGACAACAAGGCCAGCUAUCCAUAGGGAAAGCAGAAGGUCUUGGCAGGAGUUUUGCUCUAUGCAGCAAUUUGUGAGUUUGGGUCCAAGUUACUGAACUCUAGGCUGAAGUUUAGCAGCUGAUUGUGAUGGAAUGAUUAAUUGUGCUAGAAUAUGAUAAAUGUGCAGUGGUGGUUAGGACAGUUUUCAGUGGUAUGAGUAUACCAAUAUUCAUAUACAGGAGUUUUAAUGCAUUAUUAUGAGAAGGCUAAUUAUAUAUUGCAGAGAUUUAAUAGCCAAGAUAAGCUGCAUAUUUAUGAUAUGAAGUGGCUUAAGCGGAUGACUAAUAUAAGAGUUGUUGGGCAUAAUGUCACAGUACUCACCUGCUUGAAAUAGUCUUAAACUAUAUUAUAAAACCAACCAUUGUGGUCUUGUUCACCUCUGUGCAAGAUAAAUUCAGAUUUCACUGAUACUUGGAGCUGUUCACAACUUGUCUGGAUUGUAUCUUGAGUGUUCUUGUGUCUUCAAUCAUGUCAAAUAAAAUACCUUAAAACUAA